rnacentral:rRNA from 1 species
AUUCAACGCUGGCAGCAGGCUUAACACAUGCAAGUCGAGCGGAGAGCGGUAGCUUGCUACUGAUCUUAGCGGCGGACGGGUGAGUAAUGCUUAGGAAUCUGCCUAUUAGUGGGGGACAACAUUUCGAAAGGAAUGCUAAUACCGCAUACGUCCUACGGGAGAAAGCAUGGGAUCUUCGGACCUUGCGCUAAUAGAUGAGUCUAAGUCGGAUUAGCUAGUUGGUGGGGGAAAGGCCUACCAAGGCGACGAUCUGUAGCGGGUCUGAGAGGCAGAUCCGCCCCACUGGGACUAAGAAACGGCCCAGACUCCGAAGGGAGGCAGCAGUGGGGAAUAUUGGACAAUGGGCGGAAGCCUGAUCCAGCCAUGCCGCGUGUGUGAAGAAGGCCUUAUGGUUGUAAAGCACUUUAAGCGAGGAGGAGGCUACUUUAGUUAAUACCUAGAGAUAGUGGACGUUACUCGCAGAAUAAGCACCGGCUAACUCUGUGCCAGCAGCCGCGGUAACAC